rnacentral:ncRNA from 1 species
CAUAGGUUUGGUCCUGGCCUUUCCAUUAGCUAUUGAUAAACUUACACAUGCAAGAAUCCUCGCCCCAGUGAAAACGCCCUUCUAAAUCACCUAGUGACAACAAGGAGCCGGCAUCAAGCACACUAAAAGUAGCUCAAGACGCCUCGCUUAGCCACGCCCCCACGGGAGACAGCAGUGACAAAAAUUAAGCAAUAAAUGAAAGUCUGACUAAGUUAUAUUAUUGAGGACUGGUCAAUUUCGUGCCAGCCACCGCGGUCAUACGAUUAGACCAAGCUAAUGGAUACUCGGCGUAAAGAGUGUUUUAGAACCCAAAAACUAAUAAAGUCAAAUCCUAACUAAGCUGUAAAAAGUUCUAGUUACAACAAAGACAAAUAGACGAAAGUAACUUUAAAAAAUCUGAGCACACGACAGCUAAGAUCCAAACUGGGAUUAGAUACCCCACUAUGCUUAGCCUUAAACAUAAAAAAUUUUAAACAAAAUUAUUCGCCAGAGUACUACUAGCAAGUGCUGGAAACUCAAAGGACUUGGCGGUGCCUUAUACCCUUCUAGAGGAGCCUGUUCCAUAAUCGAUAAACCCCGAUCUACCUUACCAAUCUUUGCUAAAUCAGCCUAUAUACCGCCAUCUUCAGUAAACCCUAAAAAGGAAACAUAGUAAGCGCAAAUAUCAACAUAAAGACGUUAGGUCAAGGUGUAGCUUAUAGAUUGGAGAGAAAUGGGCUACAUUCUCCGAACCGGAGUAACACUCACGAAGACUUAUAUGAAAUCAAAAGUUAAAGGUGGAUUUAGUAGUAAAUUAAGAGCAGAGUGCUUAAUUGAAUCAGGCCAUGAGGCACGCACACACCGCCCGUCACCCUCCUCAAAUAAAAAAUAUUAGUUAUUACUUAAAACUCAUAAUAUUAACUUAUAAGAGGAGAUAAGUCGUAACAAGGUAAGUGUACUGGAAAGUGCACUUGGACAACU